AUACGGAGGGUGCAAGCGUUACUCGGAAUCACUGGGCGUAAAGGACGCGUAGGCGGGAAGCCAAGUCUGAUGUGAAAUCCUAUGGCUUAACCAUAGAACUGCAUUGGAAACUGGUUACCUAGAGUAUGGGAGGGGGAGAUGGAAUUAGUGGUGUAGGGGUAAAAUCCGUAGAUAUCACUAGGAAUACCGAAAGCGAAGGCGAUCUCCUGGAACAAUACUGACGCUAAGGCGUGAAAGCGUGGGGAGCAAACGGGAUUAGAAACCCUAGUAGUCC
rnacentral:rRNA from 1 species